rnacentral:lncRNA from 1 species
GCUUCUUUCUGUCUUCUUUCAUUUCCUGCAUGUGUUUGCCCCCCUUUCUGGGCUCAGCAAUGCAGCUGCCCUAAACCUUUCGAGGUCCAGCCACAGUCUUUAAAAAAAAAAUGGGGGAAGCGGUGAGAAAAUGAUCGAGCUGAAACUAGAAGGGACGCUGGAGAAGCAGAAGGUAAUUAGCAGAUUUGGGAUUUGGCUGGGACUCAAGGUGCAAGGAGCGAUUGGAAACGUUGGCUGUCUAUGCCUCACCAGCCAAGCAGGUUUGUUUUCUGUUAGUGCAAGCAGAGAGGUGGGAAGCAAAAGAGACAGCUGCUCCAAAGAGACGGACAAAACUGACUGUUCCUGACAAGGACGCUGCAAUCUGACUAACUAGGGAUCAGACGCACGCGUAAUCCUCAGGAAAAUUCAUCUCGGUAAGAGGGCCUUGCAGGGGUCAUUAAAAUGCAUUGAGCGGCGACUGCACCCGUUUAGAAGGGAGUAUGCUGGUAAGUCUUACUGAUGCCUUUCAGGGGCGGGGAGCAAAGAGGGAUGGGGCAGCAGAGAAAAA